AGUGCAUCUGAAGCUGCAAAUCACAUGCAGGCAUCAAGUGCCAAGUGAGCUCUGAAGUCAAAAUCACAGUGCUGGAAAGUGUCUUUUGUAAAACUGUUCACAUCUGCAGCCUCUACGAUGCUAAACACAGAAGGGAAAACUGAUUUUUGUAAAACCAUCAGGUGAUGUCCCAGAGCCAUCUGGUGAUGUACAGGGCAAAACAAGGACAAAGAUGCCCAAGCUGCUGCUGGGGACUGCUGGACACCACUCUUGCAGACAGAACUCUCCCCUUGGGAUGGCACCUCCUCUCUCCCCAGGGGUUGCCUGCACUUACACUUCAGUAUCCUGCUCCCUCAAUUUCUUGGCUGGAAAAAAAAGACAGUAGCACUUUCCUAACUCCCUCAAAGGCUGGUGCAAGGAUGAAUAAAGGCACAGAAAACCCUCUGAAUGCUUCAUCAUCUUAUAUGAACUCUAAAUAUCAGUAACACUCUUACCACGUGUUCAGUAUGCACUCAGCAACUUGCACUGUUAACAGUUCUGGAUGGAGGAGAGCAGAGCAGGAGGAGCUGCCUCCAGCAGUGGGGAUGACAGCCUAACACACUAGGUUUAGUAAUCUAUACCUCUUCAUAAACUUCUAUUGGUUAUCUAUUUUUGGAGAAUAAAGUUAUGCUAUUAAAGAAUAAAGCAUAACUUUGUUGUCUAAAAAUAGAUAACCAACAGAAAAUUCUGUUGGUUAUCUAUUGAAUGAAAAUUCGUCAUUUCAUCUGAAGAAAUGUCAAUUAUUCAUCUCAGAGUUGGUUGUUCUACUAUUUUUUUUCCAUUUGCAAAGAAGAUUUUAUAGUUUUGAUUGUUCACCAGAGUGAGAAAAAAGGGAAAGUUAUGCAGCUGACAUCAAACAUCUCCUCAUAUAAAGAAGUAUCUAUGAAGAUUUUUUUGUGACUUCUACAUUUCAUUUCUUAUGUGAUUUUAUUACAUUCAUAUAUAUUCUGUUUUGAUAAAUAGAAAACAGUUACAAAGUAAUUUGCUCUUUUAAUGAGACUAAUAAAUUUAUUUCCAUGUCUGUGAUGAUUUCAAUCAAUAAAAUAGUAUUCU